AGCUUGAUCUUUAAGUCCUUCAAUACCAUGCUAAUUUUUACCUUAAUCCGACAAAUAGAUCUUCAAAUAUCAUAGAAACCCUAUCCAACCUCAAACUACCACCAUCUAAAACCCUCUUGUACUAAAAAUUAAAUAUCUCUAAACGACGCCAUUAGAUGACCACAAAAUUUUGUAAACACUUAGCACACAUAAUAAUCCAAACAGCCUCAAGUUUUCAACCAUAGAUGUCACACCAAUUGCACGAACUAGCCAAAAUUGCUAGUCCUAAUUAUAUUAUAUAAAACCCAAAUCACUGAUACAAACCCUGACUUUGAACAAUGAUUGCUAAGUCCUCCAAAAUCCU
rnacentral:lncRNA from 1 species